rnacentral:misc_RNA from 1 species
AUAUAUAUAUAUAUAUAUAUACGUAUAAAUUUUUAUAAAUUUUCAUAAUUGAUCAAACAGUAUUAAUAAUAAAAUGAUGCCGUUUUAUGAAUCUGAUAAAUUGACAGAGGAUAAAUCAUUUAAUGAUGGGGAAUUUACAUUAUAUGUAAAUAAUUUACCUACAGAAUUAAAUAAGCAUGGAUUAUUACAAAUUUUCAAUCACUAUGGACAAAUCAAAGAAUAUUUUUAUCGUCCAAAUACUAAUUGGGCUUAUAUUAGUUAUAAUACAUAUCGAGAAGCAGAAAAUGCUAUAAAAGAUUUACAUAAUAUACCACCAUUACAUUUAAAAGUAUCAUUUGCCAAAGAAAAAGAUUUUAAUGGAAUUCAAUCUAUAAAAACAUCUACUUCUAAAAACAUUGAAGAAGAAAGUGAAAAUGUUAGUUCAAUACCUAUUACAUUAAUAGAUAAGGAAUUGAUACAAACAAGAGGACGAGGCAAACCCUUAGAUAUAUUUAAAAAAGUUCAACCAAAUCCAGGAUUACCAAAGUACAGUUAUACACCAGAUAAUGAUUUAUUGUAUCCAUAUCCUUCUGAACCAUAUACAUAUAAUCCAUAUGAAAAUGCAGAACCUUAUACAAAUACAAAUACAUUAUGGACAAGAGGACAAUUAACCAUUACUCCAGAUGGUAAGAGACAUGUUUCACUUGGUCGAGGCUAUACAUUAUAUGAAAUUCCAGAGUCUAAUCCUGAAAUUCAUAAUCAUAUUAACAAAGUAUAUGAAAAACGUAACUCUGGUUUAUAUGAAUAUGGAAAAGAUAUGUUACAAAAUGCAAUUGGAACAUGUAAAAUAUGUUUGAAAAAGACAAAAUAUACUUGUGAAAAAUGCCACACAUUUUAUUGUAGUAGAAAUUGUCAAGUAGCUGAUUGGUCACAACAUAAAAUAGAAUGUCAAGCUAUACCAGCUUUAGUAACAUCUAUACAUUCUAUGUCUACUUUUCAAUCAAAUAAUGAAGAACAAAUAUCUACUAGAAAUAUUUCUCAUAUUCAAAUACCUCUACGACGACCAAAAAAAUUAAUAAAGACAAUAACAAAUUCGAAUGAAAUUUCUAAUACUGUUUCAGAAAAUAAAGAUAUGAGUAAUAUAUCUGGUACAAUUAAUAACAAUAAUGAAAGUAAUAAUGAUUCAAAACAUUUAAAUACAAAAACUAUUAAUCAACAAAAGACAUAUAAGAAAAAUGAAAUAAUCAUUGAAGAAAAUAAUUCUUUUUUAUGUAAACAAUCAAUUAAUGAAAUUUUUAACAAUAAUAUUAAAAACAUAGAAGAAAUAGAUAGUCAAGAAAAUGUUAGAAAAUGGCAAAAAUUUAAUGAAAACGAUGUAACAAUGAUGGAAAAUGAAAUAUCUUUUUAUAACAAUACAUUUCUAUCCAAAACAAAAUUUACUGAUGUAACAAUAAUAAUGAAGGAAGCUUGUGAAUAUUGGGUCCAAAAAGUAGAAGAUCAGAAUUCUAUUUCUCAAUUAAUGACUGAAUUACAAAAAGAAGCACAAAAUGCACAAAAAGUAGAACCAGUAAUCGGAAAUAUUUGUGCUAUAGAAUAUGAAGGUGUAUGGCAUAGAGCUGUAGUUACAUGUUUAAAUCCCGUAAAAGUACAUUAUAUAGAUUAUGGUAAUGAAGAAAUUGCUCAAACAAAUGAUUUUCGUAAAAUUGAUAAAUAUAGGAACAUUCCAAAAUUUUGUACUAAAAUUCGAUUAUCACAAAAAGCAUAUGAAAAAUAUAAAAAUCUCAAAUUUGAGGAUGUAAUAAGUGUGAAAAUGAUAUCUAUUGAUGCUAAUAAAAUUAUUAAUGUCGAAGUUCAAAAUGAAAACGAUAUUUCAAGUUUAGAAAUAAUUAAAAAAAACAGCAAUCCAAAAAUGGACAUUUCAACCAAUGUAAAAAUUGAUAAAAAUGUGGUUUCUUCAAAAAUAGUAACUGAUAAUAAACUAUCAAGUUCUUUGAACAAAGUAAAAAGUAUAGUAAAUGCAGUAUCUGUUGGAGAAAAUGGUAUUCUAGAAAUUCAUGCAGAAAUAAAAAAUGAUACUUAUAGUAUUACAUUACUGCCUAAUAAUGCAAUACCUGAUUAUGAAAAAUUAUUAACAGAAUUACCUAUAAUGUGUGCAAAAGCAGAAUAUUCAAAUCAUAAACCAAAUGUGGGAGAUUUAAUAUGUGGUCAAAGAUUUGAUGGUGAUUGGCUUAGAGGUUAUAUUUUAUCUCUUAUACCACCUUUAAAAAUGGUUAUAAUAGAUGAAGCUAGAAUAAUGCCAAUUAAUAAAACUGUAACAUGUGAUAAAACUUUUUCAAAUAUUUAUGCAUUUGGUGCAAUAUGUGAAAUAAUUGAUACUAAACAUAAAUUUAAGGAAGGUGAUCAUUAUGAAUUUAAAGUGAUAGCACAAAACAUUAAUGAACAACAUGAAAUUGAAAUAGAAAUUUCGAAUAUUUCGAAAAGUCAAGAUAAAUUAAAAGCUAUUGUAAAACCUUGGAUACCAAUGCCUGAACAAAAAGGAUUACAAUAUGCUGAAUUGAAGAGUGGAUCUGAGGUAUGCCUUACUUCUUAUCGAAGUCACAAUGUUUUAUAUGCUCGUUCUUUAGAUACUGCAGAAUUAGAACAUUAUAAUUAUGUUAUGCAAAAUAUUGCAAAAUGCGCUCAAACAUCUCCAUUUUUUAAAAAACCGCCAGUUGUAGGAGAAAUGGUAAUUGCUAAAUUUGCCGAUGAAAAUUAUUAUCGUGCAAUUGUUACUAAAGUACAGGACAAUGAAAUUGUAAUUUCAUAUAUUGAUUUUGGUAAUACAGAAGUUACCAAUAUAAAAAAACUUAAAAUUUUAUCUGACAAUUUAAAACAGCUUCGAUCUUGUACAACAAAGAUUGUCUUAAAAGAUGUUCCUAUAGAUAUUCCUAUGACAAAAGAAGUAAGUGAUUAUCUAAAUUAUUUAACAGGAACUGAAGUUCCUUUAUUAUGUACAUUUGAUGGUAUACCUUCCAAAGAUGGUGUAUAUCUUAAACUUCAUAAUGGAGAAAAUGUUAAUAAAGUAAUAAGUGAAUUACUUGUACCUACAUUAAAAAAAAUUGAAGAAGACAAAACAUGUUAUAUGGCGGGUGAUUUAAGUACUAUUGACUUGGGAAAUAUUGGUGAUACUGUUGAAGCACUUGUAUUAUAUCCUAUUGAUGACAGUUAUAAAUAUGCAAUGUGUCCUUUAGAUUAUGAUCUAAUGACUCAUGUUUUUGAUAUAAUGCCAAAAAAAGAUGACUGAAUAUUGUGAAGCAAAUGAUUACUAUAUUCCUCGUGAUACUGAACUUUGUCUUGCUUUUUAUGAUGGUGGAUGGUAUCGUGCCAUAUGUAUAAGUCGUAGCUAUACUCCUACAACAAGUGCUGUAUUUUUUGUUGAUUUUGGAAAUACUGAAUUUAUUGAUCAUAAAGAUAUACGACUUAUGCCAAAAGAUUUUAUGAGUCCUCAUGCACUUGCAAAUAUUUGUAAUAUUAUUAAUGUUGCAGCUAUUAAUGACAAUGGACAAUAUUCUACCGAAAUAGAAGAAAGAAUCAAAGAAUUAGUUGUUCCUGAUAAUUGUAUUAAAAUAAAAAUUAUUGAUCAUGAUUUGGAA